rnacentral:rRNA from 1 species
GAUGAACGCUGGCGGCGUGCCUAAUACAUGCAAGUCGAGCGAACAGACGAGGAGCUUGCUCCUCUGACGUUAGCGGCGGACGGGUGAGUAACACGUGGAUAACCUACCUAUAAGACUGGGAUAACUUCGGGAAACCGGAGCUAAUCCCGGAUAAUAUAUUGAACCGCAUGGUUCAAUAGUGAAAGACGGUUUUGCUGUCACUUAUAGAUGGAUCCGCGCCGCAUUAGCUAGUUGGUAAGGUAACGGCUUACCAAGGCGACGAUGCGUAGCCGACCUGAGAGGGUAAUCGGCCACACUGGAACUGAGACACGGUCCAGACUCCUACGGGAGGCAGCAGUAGGGAAUCUUCCGCAAUGGGCGAAAGCCUGACGGAGCAACGCCGCGUGAGUGAUGAAGGUCUUCGGAUCGUAAAACUCUGUUAUUAGGGAAGAACAAAUGUGUAAGUAACUAUGCACGUCUUGACGGUACCUAAUCAGAAAGCCACGGCUAACUACGUG